rnacentral:piRNA from 1 species
UGCUUCCACUGUGUGUUAUAGCCUCAUGGU